rnacentral:rRNA from 1 species
CCUACGGGUGGCAGCAGUGGGGAAUAUUGCACAAUGGGGGAAACCCUGAUCCAGCGACGCCGCGUGAGUGAUGAAGUCUUUCGGUAUGUAAAGCUCUAUCAGCAGGGAAGAAAAUGACGGUACCUGAUUAAGAAGCCCCGGCCAACUACGUGCCAGCCGCCGUGGUAAUACGUAAGGGGCCAGCGUUAUCCGGAUGUACUGGGUGUAAAGGGAGUGUAGUCGGCAGCACAAGUCUGGAGUGAAAGGCCGGGGCUUAACCCCGGAACCGCAUUGGAAACUGUGGCGCUAGAGUGCAGGAGAGGUAAGUGGAAGUCCUGGUGUAGCGGUGAAAUGCGUAGAUAUUAGGAGGAACACCAGUGGCGAAGGCGGCUUACUGGACUGUAACUGACGUUGAGGCUCGAAAGCGUGGGUAGCAAACAGGAUUAGAUACCCGAGUAGUC